GGAUCCCACAAGGUGAUAGAAAAGAACUCUUGGGAGUUGUCCUCUGAUCAAACACACAUCGUGCGCACACACACACACACACACACACACACACACACACACACAUAAAACACACACACAUUCACACAUAUACAUCCAUACAAUAGACACACACACACUUUAAAAACAAAACCAAAAAAAAAGCAAGAAACAGGAGUUGUAGCUCUGUGGCAGAGCACCCUCCUAGCAUCCCUAAAGCUAUAAUCCUCUGUACCACAAGUAAUUAAUAAAGGUAAUACACGUGGUGGGAGUUAAAUUAAAAGGCAUUUACAAACUCAACCACCCCUGGACCUGAAUUAGAAAGAAAGAAAGCAAGAGAGCUCUAAAGACUUUUUUUUAAUAACUGAGGGUUGUUUUCGUGUUUGGGGUGUGAUGAGGCAGCUCUGCCAGAUAAGACGUCACUACCUUCUUAGUAAAGGUUUGCUCAAGUAUUCAAAAGCCGAGCUUUAGGACUAAACAGAGAAAGAAACACUCAAUAUAAAGGACUGGGUGUCCAGACUACUCUCUCUCUUGGUAAUUUGAACCUUGUCAAAAUAAAAGGCUGAGGAAGCAUGCCCACAGAAGGAACCAUGGAUUAGCAUUAACUACGGCUCUUUCUCGUGGUGUAGACCUGAGGCAUACAGCACUUGCAGACUUCCUCCCCAAAUUCUGCAGGCUGACUAGGCACAGCUCAGUUAUAUGCAAUUUGCAUAACGCUGCCAGUGAAGAGACCUGCCUCAGGCAAGCAAAGAACUCGCUCUACAGCUAUGUGAGGUGGUGCUGGGCUGGAGUUAGGACUACAGGGCUUUUCUAGGUGCACUCUUCCUCCAAACUGCUUCUGUCAAGUGCCUACUACAACUGUAUCUCAAGAUGGUCUGUUACAAAGAAAAACAA
rnacentral:lncRNA from 1 species